rnacentral:rRNA from 1 species
GACGAACGCUGGCGGCGUGCUUAACACAUGCAAGUCGAACGGAAAGGCCCUGCUUUUGUGGGGUGCUCGAGUGGCGAACGGGUGAGUAACACGUGAGUAACCUGCCCUUGACUUUGGGAUAACUUCAGGAAACUGGGGCUAAUACCGGAUAGGAGCUCCUGCUGCAUGGUGGGGGUUGGAAAGUUUCGGCGGUUGGGGAUGGACUCGCGGCUUAUCAGCUUGUUGGUGGGGUAGUGGCUUACCAAGGCUUUGACGGGUAGCCGGCCUGAGAGGGUGACCGGCCACAUGGGGACUGAGAUACGCCAGAGACUCAUACGGGAGGGAGCAGGGGGGAAUAUCGCACAAGGGGGGGAAGCGUGAUGGAGCAGCGCCGCGUGGGGGAUGACGGCCUUGGGGUUGUAAAGCGUUUGCGCCUGUGACGAAGCGUGAGUGACGGGAAUGGGUAAAGAAGCACCGGAUAACUAUG